UGGGGAAUAAACUAUUUGACCGACUGCACACGAUGUGGUAGCCUAAAAGGGUUCCAUGUGUUUUGGCCCUGCGGUCGGUCUACGUUUGGGAGGUAAAACAUUCACAAAUCUUUGCCAUCCAUUGCUAAUAAUGCAUUCGUAUGAAUCCCCUUGUUCGGUAGGUAGAACUCACCGAACGAGGGGCUAAUUGGCCGCUCCGUUCGGGAGUUAUGGAGCUCUGGAGGUCUCAGCGGUGUUCGG